rnacentral:rRNA from 1 species
GAUCAUGGCUCAGGAUGAACGCUGGCGGCGUGCUUAACACAUGCAAGUCGAACGGGAAUUACUUUAUUGAAACUUCGGUCGAUUUAAUUUAAUUCUAGUGGCGGACGGGUGAGUAACGCGUGGGUAACCUGCCUUGUACAGGGGGAUAACAGUCAGAAAUGACUGCUAAUACCGCAUAAGCGCACAGGACCGCAUGGUUCGGUGUGAAAAACUCCGGUGGUAUAAGAUGGACCCGCGUUGGAUUAGCUAGUUGG